UACGUAGGGGGCGAGCGUUGUCCGGAUUUAUUGGGCGUAAAGAGCGUGUAGGCGGCCAGGUAGGUCUGCUGUGAAAACUCGGGGCUCAACCUCGAGACGUCGGCGGAAACCAUCUGGCUAGAGUCCGGAAGAGGAGAGUGGAAUUCCUGGUGUAGCGGUGAAAUGCGCAGAUAUCAGGAAGAACACCCGUGGCGAAGGCGGCUCGCUGGGACGGUACUGACGCUGAGACGCGAAAGCGUGGGGAGCGAACAGG
rnacentral:rRNA from 1 species